CGGGUAGUUCAGCUGGUUAGAACGCUAGCCUGUCACGCUAGAGGUCGUGGGUUCGAACCCCAUCUC
rnacentral:tRNA from 2 species